AAAAUCGUAACAAGGUUUCCGUAGGUGAACCUGCGGAAGGAUCAUUACCGAGUGAGGGCCCUCUGGGUCCAACCUCCCACCCGUGUUUAUUUUACCUUGUUGCUUCGGCGGGCCCGCCUUAACUGGCCGCCGGGGGGCUUACGCCCCCGGGCCCGCGCCCGCCGAAGACACCCUCGAACUCUGUCUGAAGAUUGAAGUCUGAGUGAAAAUAUAAAUUAUUUAAAACUUUCAACAACGGAUCUCUUGGUUCCGGCAUCGAUGAAGAACGCAGCGAAAUGCGAUACGUAAUGUGAAUUGCAAAUUCAGUGAAUCAUCGAGUCUUUGAACGCACAUUGCGCCCCCUGGUAUUCCGGGGGGCAUGCCUGUCCGAGCGUCAUUGCUGCCCUCAAGCCCGGCUUGUGUGUUGGGCCCCGUCCCCCGAUCUCCGGGGGACGGGCCCGAAAGGCAGCGGCGGCACCGCGUCCGGUCCUCGAGCGUAUGGGGCUUUGUCACCCGCUCUGUAGGCCCGGCCGGCGCUUGCCGAUCAACCCAAAUUUUUAUCCAGGUUGA
rnacentral:sRNA from 1 species